AGUUUCCCUUUUCAUGAUCAGCUCGAGGUCGUCGUCAAGCCAUCGAUGAACCUCUUCCUUCGGACCUCUUUGGGCGAUGUUGGUGGUGGUCUUCGCUACUAUUGUUAUUCUCCAACAAGACCUAAAGGUGAGCUUAAAUAAGAGGCUUGUUAGCUCAAACAAGGCAUAUGGGAAUGAGUCAGUUCAACUCCUGCGUCAGCCACCUGUUCCUUCUCCGGCGACCCUCCUGCUCUAGCGACGGUCUUCUUCCUCGACUACGACGAUGGUUUAAAAGGGCAACUGAAGUGUAUCUCUACUUGUCUAGGUUGCUUUAACCUCCAUCCUUCGGAGGUCCCAUUUGGGUUCGCAACUGGGUUUCAUCUUUUGCCGCUUGCCAUGGUUUUUCUGCUCCUAUCGUUGUUAUCUGAGUUCUGGCUGUUGCAGUUGCAAGAGAUGCAAAGUCAAGGACCUGAUUGCUUUUUCUUCUCGUUGUUGAAUCCUUUGCAUUUUUCAGAACUUAUGUGUAAUUUGCUCAUUCUCAAGGGACCUCUCUGUAAAACUGGAUGUAUUCCCACUUUGCUUAUAUACUAUAUGCUGAUUUGCUG
rnacentral:sRNA from 1 species